GAUGAACGCUGGCGGCGUGCCUAAUACAUGCAAGUCGAGCGAACAGACGAGGAGCUUGCUCCUCUGACGUUAGCGGCGGACGGGUGAGUAACACGUGGAUAACCUACCUAUAAGACUGGGAUAACUUCGGGAAACCGGAGCUAAUACCGGAUAAUAUAUUGAACCGCAUGGUUCAAUAGUGAAAGACGGUUUUGCUGUCACUUAUAGAUGGAUCCGCGCCGCAUUAGCUAGUUGGUAAGGUAACGGCUUACCAAGGCAACGAUGCGUAGCCGACCUGAGAGGGUGAUCGGCCACACUGGAACUGAGACACGGUCCAGACUCCUACGGGAGGCAGCAGUAGGGAAUCUUCCGCAAUGGGCGAAAGCCUGACGGAGCAACGCCGCGUGAGUGAUGUAGGUCUUCGGAUCGUAAAACUCUGUUAUUAGGCAAGAACAAAUGUGUAAGUAACUAUGCACGUCUUGACGGUACCUAAUCAGAAAGCCACGGCUAACUACGUG
rnacentral:rRNA from 1 species